ACCGUCUAAGCAUUACCAAAAGCUUCUAAAGCUGGAUUGGAAUGAACCUCCACUCAUCUAGUUAUCUUAAUAAAAAUUCAAAUAACAAACACUAAUCUAGAGCAAUAAGCUACCAUCCAACCCCUCAAUCAGUCUACAUCAUAACAAUAACAUCUACAUAAACUCCAGCACACUCUAGUCGCUGCUUAGAGCCAAAAAUACCCUAACAAACCAUUCAAUGCA
rnacentral:lncRNA from 1 species